CAUCCCUGGAGGCACCGCGGCUGGCGGCGGCGACGGCGGGCGGCGCGCGGCUCGAGCUGGAGCGGCGCUCGCUGGACCUGGAGCGCGAGCUGCGCGCGCACGACAGCGACGCCUCGCUCGACGACCGCGACCACCUCGUCUGAUGGCCGGCGCCGAGCGAGCCGAGCGUGCCAGGCGUGCCAAGCGUGCCAAGUGUGCCCCGCCCGGGCUGGCGCCGCGGUGCCGCUCCGUGCAAGCGGACUCUCUGGCGCGACGUUGCCGAUUUCUUCCGACGCUUUAACCGCCGCUGCCGUGAUGAAGUGCACUCCUGACAGUAACUCGUAUGUUCUGUUUGAAAGUGAUGUUUUGAAGAGCGAGCGUUUAAUAGGCGGUGGAAUCUGAAAACGCCACUGAAUUUUGUGAUGUCGAAGAUUUGAAGCUGUUUGAUGACCCUGGACUGUCUUAUUAUCACAGCGAAGCAAAGUCACGGUAGCGAGCGGCGGUUAAAAUGCAAAGAAAUUUCCUCUGAAGUGCGGUCUCGGCGUCCGGUGCUCUUCCGGUUCGACCUGGUGCUAAAGGACUCGAGGGUCGUGCCGGCGCGACCGACCGCUGCCUUACUUAUAUACGCUCCGACUGAUCGAUACGUUUAUUUCUAGUUGAACUAAUUCCGAUUCGACGCGCCUCUGUAACCCCUUAGUGUCCAGAGACGAACGUUCGAACCAGAGCGCUCCCAUGUUCCUACGUUUAGUUAUAACCUAUAAAUAAGGCAGCGGUCGUCGAUUUUUCGCUUGGCGGCGAACGUCCAAUCUAGUGCAUAGCGGCAAAAUUGAUCUCAAUAAAUAAAUAAAGACUACGAACUUUUAAUAAGGACAUCUAGUGGAAUUGUGCGAGUACUAACGUGUUUCGUUUUCUAUGUAUUAUACGUACGUGUAAGGACGUUAAGACGUGUCGGUGUUAGUGCCUACUGAGUCUGGUUUAGUGAUAGGAACCUCGACCACUGUUUAAGGGAACUAUUAUCGUUUUACCGAGAGUCGGUGUGAGUCCAGAGCGCUUGUGUAAGACGCUGGCUGAGUCACAGACGCGGGCACACGACGUUUUUAGUCUCCCGCGUUUAUCGAUACCUCCUUUUUUAAACGAACCCUCUCGGAACCGUAGCUUAAGCGAACUAUUAAUGUGUGUGACUAUAUUAACGUAACAUUUUCUACAGAAUCAAACGUUCAUUUCUAUCGUAAUUUUAUAUUAAGUUUCCUUUUGUAGUUAUUUAAUUUCUCAAGUGAUAUAGUGAAGCUGUAUUCGUAACGAAAUGGUGACCUUAUAAUCGGAAUUAUUAAAGGAUAUAAGGGUAGAUAGUUACAUGGCCUUUUAAGCUAGUUAAGGAGCUCAGUGCGCGACGGUAGCGUAGUGGGAGCCCGCUCUUUAGUCAAUGCCAAAACGUCUUAGGCCCGCUUGCACCAUCCCACUAACCCGGGGUUAAGCGGUUAAACCGUCAACCCAGUGUCAAAUUGUACUGGUAACAAUGGUAACUCUAGGUUUAGCCGGUUAACCCCGGGUCAGUGGAAUGGUGCAAGUGGGCCUUACCGAGCUAACGUUAAAGUAGGUGCGCGUAAAAUUUGGAUGUAAAAAAUCAUGUAAUUUCAAUUUUACUUGGAUAUAUUGCUGUGUGUAGAUUUGUGAAGCAAAAUUAGCAAGUAAAAUGAAUAUUAAAAUGGUUUUACGUGGAUAGUUCGCUAAAUACAGGGUGAAUUUGUAC